GCGGAGGAAAAGAAACCAACAGGGAUUGCCCUAGUAACGGCGAGUGAAGCGGCAACAGCUCAAAUUUGAAAGCUGGCCUUCGGGUCCGCAUUGUAAUUUGUAGAGGAUGCUUUGGGUGAAACGCCAGUCUAAGUUCCUUGGAACAGGACGUCAUAGAGGGUGAGAAUCCCGUAUGUGACUGGAAAUGUUAACCUAUGUAAAGCUCCUUCGACGAGUCGAGUUGUUUGGGAAUGCAGCUCUAAAUGGGAGGUAAAUUUCUUCUAAAGCUAAAUAUUGGCGAGAGACCGAUAGCGCACAAGUAGAGUGAUCGAAAGAUGAAAAGCACUUUGGAAAGAGAGUUAAAAAGCACGUGAAAUUGUUGAAAGGGAAGCGCUUGCAAUCAGACUUGUUUAAACUGUUCGGCCGGUCUUCUGACCGGUUUACUCAGUUUGGACAGGCCAGCAUCAGUUUCGGCGGCCGGAUAAAGGCUCUGGGAAUGUGGCCUUCACUUCGGUGAAGGUGUUAUAGCCCAGGGUGUAAUACGGCCAGCCGGGACUGAGGUCCGCGCUUCGGCUAGGAUGCUGGCGUAAUGGUUGUAAGCGACCCGUCUUGAAACACGGACC
rnacentral:rRNA from 1 species